rnacentral:rRNA from 1 species
AGUGGGGAAUAUUGGACAAUGGGCGAAAGCCUGAUCCAGCCAUGCCGCGUGGAUGAAGAAGGCCCUAGGGUUGUAAAGUCCUUUCGGUGGUGAAGAUAAUGACGGUAACCACAUAAGAAGCCCCGGCUAAUUUCGUGCCAGCAGCCGCGGUAAUACGAAAGGGGCUAGCGUUGUUCGGAAUUACUGGGCGUAAAGCGCACGUAGGCGGCCUUGUAAGUUAGGGGUGAAAUCCCCGGGCUCAACCCGGGAACUGCCUUUAAGACUGCAAAGCUUGAGGAUGCGAGAGGUUGGCGGAAUUCCGAGUGUAGAGGUGAAAUUCGUAGAUAUUCGGAAGAACACCAGUGGCGAAGGCGGCCAACUGGCGCAUUUCUGACGCUGAGGUGCGAAAGCGUGGGGAGCAAA